CACCACAGCAAGCACCUCAAGGCGCACCACCCACACGAUCGAGCACCUCGCAUAGACACCUGACAAGCCGAACUUCUUCAUGGUAAAGGCCUCGCCAAGAAGUUUUCUACGGAGAAAAGAGGGGAGGAGGAAAGACCAGAGAAGCAGACAUGACAAUAAGAAACCAAUAGCUAUAUUUUACACAAGAUAAAAUCACAUGCAGUACAGAAUCAGCCUGAAGAAGUGCAAGUUAUUCCCGCCACUCCCUUCUCACCAGGUGUAGGUUCACUUCUAAAGCUCCCAGUAAACCACCUAUCAAGCACAGCCUUUUUGCUGUUGCAGGCCAGCUACUCUCCAAGUUUCUACACUCAGAGCCCAAAAUAAGAACAAAAGCUUCUGUCUGAAGAAGAAACAUCUAUCAAGUCAAGAGAAGAGGAAUCCAGCACAGAAAGAAGUCCAUCUGCAUAACUUGUUCUACAAAACCAUUUUUUCUUAAACUGUCAUUCAAGAAGACAGCAAAGAGCUCUGUUGUGGAUGCGCUACACUUCAGGUGCAGACAAAAAAAAUACAUACUCACACAUUCCCCCAUAGCAACUACAAACUCUGGGUGGUGACAGACUUCUAGAAGAAGCACUUUGCUCCGGAAAUGGGAGGAGAAGCUUAUGAAGAAAGGACACUGUCAGAUCUUCACCUGCCUUUCCAAAUGCAAAGGCUGCACCAGACCCAAAUAACAAAUUUUUGAGCUCCGCUAAAUUCAAACUAAUAGAGAAGCAUCUGCUAGAGAUGCCAGCCAGCCACCAACAAGAUGUCCCAAGCUCCUGUGCCACAGUGACAAUUCCUACAUGCUGUGGAAGACCUUAGAUAGCUCUUGCUUAUCCAAUUUGACAAUAUAGUGUCAUGAUUUCUAAUGGGAGCUCUCCUGUUAUUUUUGAAUGAAGACUUUCCACUUCAAGUUUCAUCCAAGUUUUGGAUGCUUGACUGAGGGAGACAGUAUUAGUUUAAGUCAAAGCAGCUGCAGAGAGAGAGACAGACAUUACAAGUUUGUACACACUUCUGCAUACUUUUGCAUUAGUACUUGGUAUGGCUUUUUCUUUGAAGACCUGGAGAAACUUACCGAGUAAUAUUGUGAAUGUUAAAUUUAUGCUUGGAUUCAAUGCAGGGUAAAGAUUAAUUAAGAAUAUAAAAGUAUGCUUUGCUGGACCACCACCAAGUCUAUCUGGGAAGCUCACAAAGCUCCAGAACUGUACUUCUAAGGCUCCACUAUUGUAGCCCAGGGGACAAGCAAAGUGGUCGUCGGGUGGUUUGCCGCCACAUGUUAAACACUAUAUCCACCACUCACAGAGCAUUUGGACCAGCAAGCAUUCACCAGCCCACAGUCUACUUUUAGAACUACGUUGUUGUUGUUGCCUGUUUUUAGCCCAAACGGGUUUUGCUGAUUCCUCUUAUGAAGACUGAUGCCACAAGACAACUCCCAAGACUAAGGCACUCUCUCAUAAGCGUUGCGAUUCAAAAAUGCAGAAUUUCAGGGGCAGCCAAGGAGAUACAACAGGAACAAAACAGAUGGAACAAUUAAUGCAAGACUUUUCUCCCAAAAUACUGUUACCAGUCUGUGGGUCUUAUACAUAGCCUUGCAUCACAUCUGUGGAAUAAAAAGCAAAAAAGUAAUUUUUCAAGGAAAAAAAUAUUAUGUCCCGCAAAGCUCUCCACAGACAGCAGAGGAAUGGAUGUCUCUUCUUCCUACAUAGCGAGAAAAAGACUACCACAGAAGUGGUUAAGUCAGCAUGCCAACAGGAAAGGUUUCACAUUUCAGCAUUGCAAAAAAAACCCAAACAAACACAAGAAAAAAGGAAAUUCUGCUUCCAUGCAUUAGGCCUGAGCAGGAAUAUUCACUGAUGAAGGCUCCUGAGUCAAGUAAUAACUUCAACAAAGAAGUUUUUCCAAGUUAAUUUUUGACUUAUUCGGUUAAAAGUCUUUGCAUUUUAUAUCACAAUCCAACUAAUGAAAUUCCUUCCAAAACCCCACCCUUCCCUCCAUGCCAAAAGUUCACAAAUUUGAAAUUCUAGCUCCAUCCUGGAUUAACAAUUCACUGCUCUGUCACCAAGUCGUAUUUCACAACCAGCCUUUAACGUACUUGUAGCAAGAACCGUCUAUAAAAUCCUAAACUGCCAAGACCUGCUCUGAUGCUCCCACUCUCAUUCAAGACUCCAGUGCGGCCUGAAGUCAGAGACACAGGAAAGGGCAUCUCUGCCAGGAGUGCAGGUAUUUUUCUGCUACGGCUACCAAGGUUAGCCGAUUUAAUUUGAAAGAUUCACAAUAUGUCAGUACGUCUGAAGUGGAAUCAAUAAAGUUAUUUGUCUCAUUUCAUUCUUCCCUCAUGAAUUAAGGAAAAGGAACAGCUAUUAAUCAGCUACCACUCCACCAGAAUUCUACUGCAAGACGCUGAAGAUCAUGUAACUUUGGGUGUCUGCACUGAUGGUCAUAAAUGAAGAAAUCCUCCAGAGCACAGCACUCACAGUUAUAAAAAAUACAUAGUUUCUCUACUCUAAUGGUGUGCUAGCGUCUGUAUGUUCUUAAACACUUUAAAUUUUAUUCCUGUAGAUAGUUCUUUCUGAGAAGGCUUGUCAAUAGCAAAACUGAUUUCUGAACACAGGAAAGCUGUAGACAAUCUGAAAUUUAAAGACUAAUAAAAAGCAUUU